ACGAACGCUGGCGGCAUGCUUAACACAUGCCAGUCGCACGGAAAGGCCCUGCUUUUGUGGGGUGCUCGAGUGGCGAACGGGUGAGUAACACGUGAGUAACCUGCCCUUGACUUUGGGAUAACUUCAGGAAACUGGGGCUAAUACCGGAUAGGAGCUCCUGCUGCAUGGUGGGGGUUGGAAAGUUUCGGCGGUUGGGGAUGGACUCGCGGCUUAUCAGCUUGUUGGUGGGGUAGUGGCUUACCAAGGCUUUGACGGGUAGCCGGCCUGAGAGGGUGACCGGCCACAUUGGGACUGAGAUACGGCCCAGACUCCUACGGGAGGCAGCAGUGGGGAAUAUUGCACAAUGGGCGGAAGCCUGAUGCAGCAACGCCGCGUGCGGGAUGACGGCCUUCGGGUUGUAAACCGCUUUCGCCUGUGACGAAGCGUGAGUGACGGUAAUGGGUAAAGAAGCACCGGCUAACUACGUG
rnacentral:rRNA from 1 species